rnacentral:rRNA from 1 species
UACGAAGGGGGCGAGCGUUGUUCGGAAUCACUGGGCUUAAAGCGUGCGUAGGCGGAUAUACAAGUCAGAAGUGAAAUCCCGGGGCUUAACCCCGGAACUGCUUUUGAAACUGUAUGUCUAGAAUCCGGUAGAGGUUAAUGGAAUGUCCAGUGUAGAGGUGAAAUUCGCAGAUAUUGGACGGAACACCAGUGGCGAAGGCGAUUAACUGGGCCGGUAUUGACGCUGAGGUACGAAAGCGUGGGGAGCAAAC